UGUUGCAGCAUCCCCGCCGUGGCGUCGCCACUGGCUUCCUCGCUCUCACCGCCUUCACUCUCGGUUCCUCCGACGGCCCCUCCCUCCCCACAAAUGUCGCCAUUUCGAUAUGCGAUCCGUUUCGGCAAUUUCUGUCUUCGACUUCGUCGAUUUUCUCGCAAGAUUUCACGCUUCCAUUCUCAGUCUUUUCUCCAGAGUUUUUUGCACGGCAUUUUCCAACCGCGUGCCCUCUUCCACCUCCGGAUUCAAGUAAGGACGUGGCAUGCUGCAGUGGAUGCCUCAAAAGGAACUCUAUUGUCAAAGCGGCC